AUGAUCUAUUCAUCUCUCUGGUUGUUGCUGCUGCUGGCAGCUGCUUCUCGUGUCGACUGUGUUGAACUGACUCAGACUGAUUCUCUUGUCUUAAGUCCUGGUCAGGUUUUGACUCUGUCCUGUAAAAUCUCUGGAUAUUCAGUGACUGACAGCAGCUACUGCACUCACUUCAUUCGGCAGCCUGGAGGAAAAGCCCUGGAAUGGGUUGGAAGGAUGUGUGGUAGCGGUAACUCAUAUUACAGUGAUAAACUGAAAAGUAGAUUUCAAGUUACCAGAGAGUCUUCCAGCAACACAGUGACUCUGCAAGGACAGAAUAUGCAGACUGAGGACACAGCUGUGUAUUACUGCGCCAGAGAGUCACAGUGA